UACGUAGGGGGCAAGCGUUGUCCGGAUUUAUUGGGCGUAAAGAGCGUGUAGGCGGCCAUUCAGGUCAGCUGUGAAAACUCGAGGCUCAACCUCGAGACGUCGGUUGAAACCGUUUGGCUAGAGUCCGGAAGAGGAGAGUGGAAUUCCCGGUGUAGCGGUGAAAUGCGCAGAUAUCGGGAAGAACACCCGUGGCGGAGGCGGCUCUCUGGGACGGUACUGACGCUGAGACGCGAAAGCGUGGGGAGCGAACAGG
rnacentral:rRNA from 1 species